AUUGAACGCUGGCGGCAGGCCUAACACAUGCAAGUCGAACGGACCUUCGGGUUAGUGGCGAACGGGUGAGUAACACGUGGGUGAUCUGCCCUGCACUUUGGGAUAAGCCUGGGAAACUGGGUCUAAUACCGGAUAGGACCAUGCUCUGAUGGGGUGUGGUGGAAAGCUUUUGCGGUGUGGGAUGGGCCCGCGGCCUAUCAGCUUGUUGGUGGGGUAAUGGCCUACCAAGGCGACGACGGGUAGCCGGCCUGAGAGGGUGACCGGCCACACUGGGACUGAGAUACGGCCCAGACUCCUACGGGAGGCAGCAGUGGGGAAUAUUGCACAAUGGGCGAAAGCCUGAUGCAGCGACGCCGCGUGAGGGAUGACGGCCUUCGGGUUGUAAACCUCUUUCAGCACAGACGAAGCGUAAGUGACGGUAUGUGCAGAAGAAGGACCGGCCAACUACGUGCCAGCAGCCGCGGUAAGAC
rnacentral:rRNA from 1 species